UACGUAGGUGGCAAGCGUUGUUCGGAAUUACUGGGCGUAAAGGGCGCGUAGGCGGCCAGCGCAAGUCAGUUGUGAAAUCUCCGGGCUUAACUCGGAAAGGUCAACUGAUACUGCGCGGCUAGAGUGCGGAAGGGGCAACUGGAAUUCUCGGUGUAGCGGUGAAAUGCGUAGAUAUCGAGAGGAACACCUGCGGCGAAGGCGGGUUGCUGGGCCGACACUGACGCUGAUGCGCGAAAGCCAGGGGAGCGAACGGG
rnacentral:rRNA from 1 species